CCCCUCUCAGGAUCAUACCUGGAGAGUUUCCAGUACUCUAUCAGUCUCAACUACAGGAGGGAGAAUCAGGCAGAGGAAAAUCCAUUCCAUUCCUAGCUUGGGCAGUGGCUAGCAAGUGGAUGGCCAUCUGCUACAAGU